GGCUUGGUGGUCUAGUGGUAUGAUUCUCGCUUAGGGUAACACCCUGAAGCAUCCUUUGCUACGGCAUCGUUUGCGAGAGGUCCCGGGUUCAAUCCCCGGCCAAGCCC